rnacentral:lncRNA from 1 species
CUUGUGGGAGAGACGGGGUCGUGGGCGUCUCCUCUUCCAUCCGGCUGGUCUGUGGCUCUGGCUGCCCCUGCCGGGGUUCUGCUGGACCAGCCUUCUCACGCCGCCCGCCUGUUCUAGUGCUGUGCCAUGCUCUGUGGAGUCCAUGAUGGGACCUGUAGAAUGACAAGAAACUAUUGUUAGCACCCCAAAAUGGCCACCACUACACACCUGUACUGUAGCCUAUCAAUGACUCAUUUUGAUUGGGAACUCUGGGAUCUCAGACAUGUGUACAUAAGACACAAACAUGGGUAAGAGCUAUAGCGGAUGAGGCCAUCAAAGAUAUGCAAAGAUAGCGUGUGUGUGUGGGCCUCUCUUAGCUCACCCAUACGUUGAAGUUCAUCAAGUCAAUGUGGUGGAACCAAAACACAGCAGAUGUAACUCGACCUCAGUGAGAAACUCAAACCCUUGUGUCUCAUGUCCCUAGUGUCUCAUGUCCUUAGUGUCUCAUGUCCCUAGUGUCUCAUGUCCUUAGUGUCUCAUGUCCUUAGUGUCUCAUGUCCCUAGUGUCUCAUGUCCCUAGUGUCUCAUGUCCUUAGUGUCUCAUGUUCCUAGUGUCUCAUGUCCUUAGUGUCUCAUGUCCCUAGUGUCUCAUGUCCUUAGUGUCUCAUGUCCUUAGUGUCUCAUGUCCCUAGCAUCUCAUUUCCCUAACAUCUCAUGUCUCUAGUGUCUCAUGUCCUUAGUGUCUCAUGUUUCAUGUCCCUAGUGUCUCAUGUCCCUAAUGUCUCAUGUUUCAUGUCCCUAGCAUCUCAUUUCCCUAACAUCUCAUGUCUCUUGUGUCUCAUGCCCCUAGUGUCUCAUGUCCCUAGUGUCUCAUGCCCCUAGUGUCUCAUGCCCCUAGUGUCUCAUGUCCCUAGUGUCUCAUGUCCCUAUUGUCUCAUGUCUUUAGUGUCUCAUUCUCAUGUUUCUGUCUCAUGUCUCUUGUGUCUCAUGUUUCUAUUUCAUGUUCCUAGUGUCUCGUGUCUCAUGUCCCUAGUGUCUCAUGUCCCUCUCUCACCAGGUUUGGUGGAGGUGCAUCCCACGGCACCCUGUGUUUGACCCAAGAUUAAAGACGGGCUGAAUACUAGCAUGCUUCCCACUGGAUGUGUGUGUGUGUGUGUGUGUGUGUGUGUGUGUGAAUCCUCAGAGAGGUAGCUAGAAAUAUUGACACAAGACCCACUGUUGUGUUUUCACACUCCACUGUUACCUGCACCACCAGCAGGCUGGCCAAUGGUCACACUAACUGAC